rnacentral:rRNA from 1 species
ACGCAAUAGAUACCCCGGUAGUCCACGCCCUAAACGAUGUCUACUAGUUGUCGGGUCUUAAUUGACUUGGUAAACGCAGCUAAACGCGUGAAGUAGACCGCCUGGGGAGUACGGUCGCAAGAUUAAAACUCAAAGGAAUUGACGGGGACCCGCACAAGCGGUGGAUGAUGUGGAUUAAUUCGAUGCAACGCGAAAAACCUUACCUACCCUUGACAUGGAUGGAAUCCCUGAGAGAUCGGGGAGUGCUCGAAAGAGAACCAUUACACAGGUGCUGCAUGGCUGUCGUCAGCUCGUGUCGUGAGAUGUUGGGUUAAGUCCCGCAACGAGCGCAACCCUUGUCAUUAGUUGCUACGAAAGGGCACUCUAAUGAGACUGCCGGUGACAAACCGGAGGAAGGUGGGGAUGACGUCAAGUCCUCAUGGCCCUUAUGGGUAGGGCUUCACACGUCAUACAAUGGUACAUACAGAGGGCCGCCAACCCGCGAGGGGAGCUAAUCCCAGAAAGUGUAUCGUAGUCCGGAUUGUAGUCUGCAACUCG